UACGUAGGGCGCAAGCGUUGUCCGGAAUUAUUGGGCGUAAAGAGCUCGUAGGCGGCUUGUCACGUCGGGUGUGAAAGCCCGGGGCUUAACCCCGGGUCUGCAUUCGAUACGGGCUAGCUAGAGUGUGGUAGGGGAGAUCGGAAUUCCUGGUGUAGCGGUGAAAUGCGCAGAUAUCCGGAGGAACACCGGUGGCGAAGGCGGAUCUCUGGGCCAUUACUGACGCUGAGGAGCGAAAGCGUGGGGAGCGAACAGG
rnacentral:rRNA from 1 species